rnacentral:rRNA from 1 species
UACGUGAGGGGCGAACGUUGUUCGGUGUCACUGGGCUUAAAGGGUGCGUAGGUGGUUGCGUAAGUAAGGUGUGAAAUCCCUCGGCUUACCCGGGGAAUUGCAUUUUAUACUGCGUGGCUUGAGGACUAAAGGGGAAAAGGGAACUCCAGGUGUAGCGGUGAAAUGCGCAGAUAUCUGGGGGAAGGCCGGCGGCGAAGGCGGCAUCCUGGACCGGUAUUGACGCUGAUGCGCGAAAGCCAGGGGAGCAAACGGG